AUUGAACGCUGGCGGCAUGCCUUACACAUGCAAGUCGAACGGCAGCAUGGAAGAGCUUGCUCUUCUGAUGGCGAGUGGCGAACGGGUGAGUAAAGCAUCGGAACGUACCGUGUAGUAGGGGAUAACGUAGCGAAAAUUACGCUAAUACCGCAUACGAUCUAUGGAUGAAAGCGGGGGAUCGCAAGACCUCGCGCGAUUGGAGCGGCCGAUAUCAGAUUAGGUAGUUGGUGGGGUAAAGGCCCACCAAGCCAACGAUCUGUAGCUGGUCUGACAGGACGACCAGCCACACUGGAACUGAGACACGGGCCAGACUCCUACGGGAGGCAGCAGUGGGGAAUUUUGGACAAUGGGCGAAAGCCUGAUCCAGCCAUUCCGCGUGCAGGAUGAAGGCCCUCGGGUUGUAAACUGCUUUUGUACAGAACGAAAAGGUUUCUACUAAUACUAGGAGCUCAUGACGGUACUGUAGAAUAAGCACCGACUAACUACGUGCCAGCCGCCGCGGUAA
rnacentral:rRNA from 1 species